rnacentral:misc_RNA from 1 species
GAUGAAGAACGCAGCGAAAUGCGAUACGUAAUGUGAAUUGCAGAAUUCAGUGAAUCAUCGAAUCUUUGAACGCAUAUUGCGCUCUCUGGUAUUCCGGAGAGCAUGCUUGUUUGAGUAUCAGUAAACACCUCAACUUCCAUAUCUUUUUUGAAAUGGGAGUUGGACUUGAGUGAUCCCAACGCUUUUCCUCACCGAAAAGUGGCGGGUUACUUGAAAUGCAGGUGCAGCUGGACUUUUCUCUGAGCUAUAAGCAUAUCUAUUUAGUCUGCCUAAAAAACAGAUUAUUACCUUUGCUGCAGCUAACAUAAAGGAGAUUAGUUCUUGUACUGACUGAUGCAGGAUUCACAAAGACAGGCUUCGGCCGACUUUGUAAACUCGAUCUCAAAUCAAGUAAGACUACCCGCUGAACUUAAGCAUAUCAAUAAGCGGAGGA